rnacentral:tRNA from 1 species
UGUCUAGGGAUGGGAAUCGAACCCACAAUGUUCCGCUUACCUGGCAGAUGCCAUGUCGACUAGGUUACCCUGGAC